UACGUAGGGUCCGAGCGUUGUCCGGAAUUAUUGGGCGUAAAGGGCUCGUAGGCGGUCUGUCACGUCGGGAGUGAAGACUUACAGCUUAACUGUGAGCGUGCUUCCGAUACGGGCAGACUUGAGGUAUUCAGGGGAGAACGGAAUUCCUGGUGUAGCGGUGAAAUGCGCAGAUAUCAGGAGGAACACCGGUGGCGAAGGCGGUUCUCUGGGAAUAUCCUGACGCUGAGGAGCGAAAGUGUGGGGAGCGAACAGG
rnacentral:rRNA from 1 species